rnacentral:rRNA from 1 species
UACGUAGGGGGCAAGCGUUGUCCGGAUUUAUUGGGCGUAAAGCGCGUGUAGGCGGCCAGAUAGGUCUGCUGUGAAAACUCGAGGCUCAACCUCGAGCUGUCGGCGGAAACCAUCUGGCUAGAGUCCGGAAGAGGAGAGUGGAAUUCCUGGUGUAGCGGUGAAAUGCGCAGAUAUCAGGAAGAACACCUAUGGCGAAGGCAGCUCGCUGGGACGGUACUGACGCUGAGACGCGAAAGCGUGGGGAGCGAACAGG